rnacentral:rRNA from 1 species
GACGAACGCUGGCGGCGUGCCUAAUACAUGCAAGUAGGACGCAGUUGCGAACGGGUGAGUAACGCGUAGGUAACUACCUAUUAGAGGGGGAUAACUAUUGGAAACGAUAGCUAAUACCGCAUACUAGUAGAUGGACCUGCGUUGUAUUAGCUAGUAGGUAGGGUAAUGGCCUACCUAGGCAACGAUACAUAUCCGAACUGCGAGGGUGAUCGGCCAGACUGGGACUGAGACACGGCCCAGACGCCUACGGAAGGCAGCAGUAGGGCUACUGCGGCAAUGGGGGGAGACCUGACCGAGCAACGCCGCGGGAGUGAAGAAGGUUUUCGGAUCGUAAAGCUCUGUUGUUAAGGAAGCGGUACUUAACCAGAAAGGGACGGCUAACUACGUGCCAGCAGCCGCGGUAAUAC